rnacentral:rRNA from 1 species
CCUGAACGCUGGCGGCGUGGCUAAGACAUGCAAGUCGAACGGGUGCAGCAAUGCACCAGUGGCGCACGGGUGAGUAAUGUAUCGCUAACGUGCCCCGGAGCCUGGGAUAGCUGUCCGAAAGGGCAGGUAAUACCGGAUGAGACCACGGAGAGGCAUCUCUCAGUGCUCAAAGCCGCAAGGCACUCUGGGAGCGGGCGAUAUCGUAUCAGCUAGUUGGCGGGUAACGGCCACCAAGGCAUCGAUCAGUAGCUGGUCUGAGAGGACGACCAGCCACACU